UUUGGCUAAGACCACUAUUCCUAUUCCUCUCCUUCAACUGACCAAAAAGAGAAAGAGAACGCGAAAGUGUCCCGGAGCAAAUCAACAACCGUCCUUGUCGAUGAAAAAUAUCGUUCGGCCCACCAGCGGCGUAGUAGUAGCCUCACCGGAAAGGGUGGUAGAAGGUGGUAUCAUUAUGGCAAUAAUAAUACAUCUUCCACCUUCGAUGGCGGUGGUGACUCUCGCGCGCUCGCGUUCGGUCGGCAACUUCACUUUGACAAAAUUAGAGUGCUCAGAGCGGGCAAGAUCUGAAGCCCGAAUGGAGGUGCAUAGAAUGAUCUAAGAUGACCUCGCGAUCUAAACGUUUGUCGGUUUAUGGGGUCGCGAGGUAAUGAUUAAA
rnacentral:rRNA from 1 species